CUAUAAAUGGUGCUUAUGGGGUUUUUUUUGUUUUUUUUUUAAGGUCUCUCUCCACAGGUUUUUUUGCUUCAUAAAACAUAAUUUUCAUACUUAUUGCUUCUGAUGUGAUUGAACCUUUGCUGUGGCGUGACUUUGGGUGCACAUCUCGACAUUUCUGGAUCCAUGUGUGUGUUAUUGUGGUUCCCUGCCUCCUUGUGCUACAAGCAGAAUUACAGAAGAGUAUAAAAUCUUAUUUUCAAAUAUUUAUGUCAUGUUCUCAAGGGUGUUCCCAGCAUGCCAGGCAGGUUUCUGCUCAAACUGCUCAAUUUCUUUUCCUUCACAUGGGAUGUUCUGUGUCCAGACACAGAAAGAAAAUCAUCAUCCUCACUCUUACACAGAUCUAGCCAUGAAAUUAGGAUGGAUAAAAGAUUUUGCCACUAUGUGCCCCUCCAGUCAAUCCUGACCUGAGUUUGAAAUGAACUUUUGGUGUGGCACGUUCAUGUCUGCAGCAGACAGGGCUUCAGCUCUCUGCUCAUCCCACCUGCAGACAGCAGCUCCCUCUGCUUCUCUCAAGGCACUUCGUGGUCCAGCAGCAGCACCAGCAGACACCAGCUGCUGGAUGUAGCUACUCCACGGCAAAAACCUGUGGUUUUUUUCCUUGAUGGAAACCUCUCAGUCUUGUUGCUUUGCCCUCCUUCUCUGAAGAAGGAAGACUGAAGCAAAAGAAGGUUGAAGGACGUUUCUCAGCAACAUCUCUGAAGUUGCUGCCUGGCGCUGAGCCAUGGUAGUCACUCAAAUCCACAUUAAGCUGUAUUUCUACAAGGAAGUGUUUGAGCUCAGUCUGACCUAUUUUCUGAAAUAAGGAUUUAAAAGUCCUCUCUUGCAUAAUGGGCUGUGUUGGCACAGCAUCAUGAAAGCAAAGUUGGAUCCUGAGUUCCCUCUGUACCAGCAAAGUACUCCUGGCUCAAGCUACUUCUGCUAAGCCAAACCCCAUUUGCUUUAAAAUAUGCUUGUCAUUUAUUUGGUUUAAAUAGUUUCCUUCCUUGUGAUGUUUUACCCUGUGAACUUUCCUUUUUCUUUUUUUUUUUAAAGUACAAGAAGCCAUGGGCCAUUUAUUGUGCAGUUCAUGCUCUCAGGUACUUCUGUUCCUUGCUGACAUGAAUUCCUUGUGCAGUUCAGACUCAGUGAGCUUUUGCAGUGCUGCUUUUCAAAGUUACACUGCAGAGACACUCUGCUCACACCCUCGAGCAUGCAGAACUCCUUGAAUCAACCCUUGCAGAAGGGAAAAGAAGCCUGGAAAGACUGAGGUUUACACCAGCUUCCUUACUAAUUUUUUGUUUCAGGAGCCCUUUACUGGGUGCUGCCUGUCACAUCAGCUUCUCCAAGGGGGAAAUGAUCCUCUAGGAUUAGGUGCUGGAGGCACUUGUCCCUUCACUGCUCCUGUGCACUGCAUAGAACAAGAGAUUUGAUAUGUCUAUAAAAAAGAAAAAGCAAUUUUUUUAUGGGCAAAAUGAACAAUUCUUGUACAACAUCCCUCCUCCUAAAGACAAGGCACUAAAAUGCUGGAAUUUCCUCCAAAUGGAGAAAGUGUGUUGGCAGUUCCAGCUCUGCAAUUGUUACCCAGCUUCCAAGUACACCUACGAAAUAUUGCCUGCAGCACAACAGUGGAGAUGAUUAAAAGGAUUUUUUUUUUGGUAAAGAUUAAAGACUUUAUUACCUCUCUGGUAAAUGUAAAAAUAUUAAUUGAAUGAAGUAUUAAUUGUCAGUAGAAGAAGAAAUGUGACUUAAAAUGCAUGUAAAGAUGUCGGAAUUUACAAAUGACCUGAUAAUGUAGGAACUAUAAAACACAAAAAAUACUUA